rnacentral:rRNA from 1 species
UUCCGGUUGAUCCCGCCGGAGGUUACUGCUAUUGGUGUUCGACUAAGCCAUGCAAGUCAUAUGUUCCUCGUGAACAUGGCAUACUGCUCAGUAACACGUGGAUAACCUGCCCUAGGGAAGGGGAUAACCCCGGGAAACUGGGGAUAAUACCCUAUAGGUUACAGAUGCUGGAAUGCCCUGUAACCCAAAGUUCCGACGCCCUAGGAUGGAUCUGCGGCCGAUUAGGUUGUUGUUGGGGUAAUGGCCCAACAAGCCCGUAAUCGGUACGGGUUGUGGGAGCAAGAGCCCGGAGUUGGAUUCUGAGACACGAAUCCAGGCCCUACGGGGCGCAGCAGGCGCGAAAACUUUACAAUGCGGGAAACCGUGAUAAGGGAACACCGAGUGCCAGCAUCAUAUGCUGGCUGUCCAGAUGUGUAAACUACAUCUGUUAGCAAGGGCCGGGCAAGACCGGUGCCAGCCGCCGCGGUAACACCGGCGGCCCGAGUGGUGACCGUCAUUAUUGGGUCUAAAGGGUCCGUAGCCGGUUUGGUCAGUCCUCCGGGAAAUCUGAUAGCUUAACUGUUAGGCUUUCGGGGGAUACUGCCAGGCUUGGAACCGGGAGAGGUAAGAGGUACUACAGGGGUAGGAGUGAAAUCUUGUAAUCCCUGUGAGACCACCUGUGGCGAAGGCGUCUUACCAGAACGGGUUCGACGGUGAGGGACGAAAGCUGGGGGCACGAACCGGAUUAGAUACCCGGGUAGUCCCAGCCGUAAACUAUGCUCGCUAGGUGUCAGGCAUGGCGCGACCGUGUCUGGUGCCGCAGGGAAGCCGUGAAGCGAGCCACCUGGGAAGUACGGCCGCAAGGCUGAAACUUAAAGGAAUUGGCGGGGGAGCACAACAACGGGUGGAGCCUGCGGUUUAAUUGGACUCAACGCCGGACAACUCACCGGGGACGACAGCAAUAUGUAGGCCAGGCUGAAGACCUUGCCUGAAUCGCUGAGAGGAGGUGCAUGGCC